GUGCAGCAGGCGCGAAAACUUUACAAUGCGGGCAACCGCGAUAAGGGGACCUCGAGUGCUGGGUUACAAACCUGGCUGUUGGGCUGCCUAAAAAGCAGUCUAUAGCAAGGGCCGGGCAAGACCGGUGCCAGCCGCCGCGGUAACACCGGCGGCUCGAGUGGUAACCGCUGUUAUUGGGUCUAAAGGGUCUGUAGCCUGCCGGCUAAGUCUCUUGGGAAAUCUGGCAUCUCAAGUGUCAGGCUGCCAGGGGAUACUGGUCAGCUUGGGACCGGGAGAGGUGAGAGGUACCUCGGGGGUAGGGGUGAAAUCUUGUAAUCCUCGAGGGACCACCAGUGGCGAAGGCGUCUCACCAGAACGGAUCCGACGGCAAGGGACGAAAGCUAGGGGCACGAACCGGAUUAGAUACCCAUGUAGUCC
rnacentral:rRNA from 1 species